CAGUCGCCGCGGUAAUACGAAGGGGGCUAGCGUUGCUCGGAAUUACUGGGCGUAAAGGGAGCGUAGGCGGAUCGUUUAGUCAGGGGUGAAAUCCCGGGGCUCAACCUCGGAACUGCCUUUGAUACUGGCGAUCUUGAGUACGGGAGAGGUGUGUGGAACUCCGAGUGUAGAGGUGAAAUUCGUAGAUAUUCGGAAGAACACCAGUGGCGAAGGCGACACACUGGCCCAUUACUGACGCUGAGGCUCGAAAGCGUGGGGAGCAAACAGGAUUAGAUACCCCCGUAGUCCCUGUCUCUUAUAC
rnacentral:rRNA from 1 species